GACGAACGCUGGCGGCGUGCUUAACACAUGCAAGUCGAACGGAAAGGCCCUGCUUUUGUGGGGUGCUCGAGUGGCGAACGGGUGAGUAACACGUGAGUAACCUGCCCUUGACUUUGGGAUAACUUCAGGAAACUGGGGCUAAUACCGGAUAGGAGCUCCUGCUGCAUGGUGGGGGUUGGAAAGUUUCGGCGGUUGGGGAUGGACUCGCGGCUUAUCAGCUUGUUGGUGGGGUAGUGGCUUACCAAGGCUUUGACGGGUAGCCGGCCUGAGAGGGUGACCGGCCACAUUGGUACUGAGAUACGGCCCAGACUCCUACGUGAGGCAGCAGUGGGGAAUAUUGCACAAUGGGCGGAAGCCUGAUGCAGCAACGCCGCGUGCGGGAUGACGGCCUUCGGGUUGUAAACCGCUUUCGCCUGUGACGAAGCGUGAGUGACGGUAAUGGGUAAGGAAGCACCGGCUAACUACGUG
rnacentral:rRNA from 1 species